rnacentral:misc_RNA from 1 species
UGGAAAAAGAGCGAAGAUUGGGGACGGCCAAUCCACUUUCUGAGAAAGACUCUAACUUGGGAGAGCCGAAUAUUACUAAUGUAGUGAGGUGAGAGAACCCAUCAUCAAGCGACUCCAAUAAUUUUGUUGUCCAAUAGCAAAAUUCAAUACUCUUAACUGAAUGAGGAAAUUCACCAACUGGAAGGGAUGUAAGAGACGGACAUCUCCUGAAACUCAAAUUCUCGAAAUAAGUUAUCUCAUUGCCAGUAUUACUGACUUGCAUAAUGCU